ACGACCCCGCAGACAGAAAAGAAAAGGCCCAGGAGCACGCGGAUGGCGGAGAAGAGCAGCGCCAUGGCUCUGGCUUCUCUCGCUCUCUCCUUCCCUUUCUUCGGCUUACUGAGUGCAGAGCAAAGACAAGCAAGAUGAAGGAACCUCACCCCAUUUGGGAAGGAACCGGAGGAGACGACAAAGAGCUUUGGGAAGGCAGCGACCUUCAGUCCCCACAACUGCCCCAUAAGUGCAAGAUCUACUAGGAUGAGUUCCUGUGCUCACUAGGCCUGGCCUUCUGAGCUGAUUACUUUGAAUAGUUAACUUCACAGGCACUGUGUGAGUUAUUGCUGACCUGCUCUUAACACCCACUCUGAUACCACACUAGAAAGUAGAUUCCUCCAAACCCCCACCCUCCAUUCCCAGCUAGCUAUGGGUUGAAUGUUUUUCAGGAACUGGAAUCCUGUAGGUUGAGAUCAUUUGGGUUUAUUGUCCAUCUCUUCCAAGAAACCUUCAUCCAGUGACUCAGCAUCAGGACACACUUUCCCAUUGGGGACAUAUACAUGGAUCUCUGUCUUUGGUCUUGUAAUCUGGGGCAGCAAAGAUGAGUUUGCUCUAGAUGAUGAUGAUAUGCAGGUCAUCCCACUGACCAUUAAGUCCUGCACUGUGGAGCAAGCAGCCAGCCUGCGAGAUCCUGGUGGAAGAUCACACCUAGCUUUGCAGGGAGAGGGCUUCACAGCAAGCUGAACAGGGCUGGUAAAGUGAAGAUAGGUGCAUUUUUGCUUCAGGCAGCUGCCCGGCCUCAUAGUAGAAGAGAGGUUGUUCAGAAUUCCAACACCUUUUGGCUGAACUGGUCCAGCAGGAAGCUCUAGGAAAGGCAGUUUUACAUUCUUCCAGCUUUUGUACCUGUUCUGAUUGAUUAAAAAGAAAUCUCAAUG